CUAAACUUCAAGCCUCCAGUUCCUAUAGUCUUUUAGAUAAAGGUUAUGAUAGAAUCGUAUUCGAUAGCAAAAUGGUGGACAAUCCUAUGUAACUGCUAAGAAACACUUACUUGUGCGUCAACGCAUUGUUGUGUAUGCCAACCCAGAACUUUGGAAAGUAGUUGAAAUGCAGCGGAGUCGACUCAAUAGCAACAAGGCAGUGUAACUUUACUAGUGUAUCGUUGAGAGAACCCAUGUUGACACACAUUCGAAGCAUGACAUCGAUGAAGUCGUGAUAUGGUCUGUAGAAGCUAUCGACAAGUGCAUCAUACUCCACAUCAAGACCUCGUGGGGUCAACUCAGCUAGCGCAAUGCACAUUUGUACCAUGGGUCGAGGAGGACGCGGUGAAUUCUUAGCACCUUGGGGCCAGGGUGUCUGCUUGGCUCCCCGACGUGGGAAGUAUGGACCCAAUGGACCAAUUGCAUUAGGUGCGUUUGCUACUGACAGAUGACAGUUGAUCAAAAUGGGUGCCAAUAUGCUAGUUGCCUCGAGAGUAGUGUUGCGCACCAGCUCCUUGAGCACCUCCAGUGCCAUUCGACUGAUCUCGGGUGAGUUGAAUGUGUUAAGCAAGGUGGCCAAGCGCUUGAUGGCAUCUGGAAGGGCCUUUGCUAAUGCAGAGAGCUGAUGCUGUUGGCGAAGAAAAUGCUGCUGCUGCAACUGCAUUUGCUGUAGUUGAAGGUGUUGCUGCAUUUGUUGCUGCAACUGCUUCUCUUUCUGCUGUGGCGUCUGCGGUGCUUGGGUGCACUGUGCCUGCUGUUGUUUCUGCAUCAGUUGUUGCUGUUGCAAUUGUAACUGCUGUUCCAACUGCUGAUGUUGUUGCUUCUUUUGUGCCGAAUUAUCUGUGCGCAUACGCAGUGUUGCUAAUAGUAGCACCAUCUCGCCAAGUAGGUCUAGGAGAUCUCCAGCCACAUGGCAUGCGGUGGCUUCGUGAUGCAUGGAAUGUAGAGUGUGCAGAGCCUCAAAACACAUUUCGAUGCCGCCGUUGAAAAUUACCAACAUCCUGUCAUCGUCAUUGUCCACUAUGUUAAGCAAUUCAAUUUUUAACAUUUUAAAAACAGUUAAGAAAGUAUUAUAGUCGAUCUUAUUUAUAAAAAAAAAAUUUUUAAUAGAGUCUUCUACUUGUUCUGAUAUUGAAUUCAAUUAAUCGUUGUUUAUGGAAUUUUAAUCCAUAUUUUUUUAAGGAAAGUAAUUUGCAAAAAUAAAAUAAAUCGAAUACAAAUAUCUAAUUUUCUAUAAAAUUAAAGUCUGGGGAAAAAAACAUUUAUUUUUCCUAAAAACUUUCGUUUUUGAAAAGUAGGUGUCGUACAGAAAGUUGUUAAGUUCCUUAAUGUUGCUUAGUGCAGUAUUGUCACUGCUUCGCUUACCGAGAAUUUUAAAUGCACUGAUGAGAGUUGACCAAGAGACCCGAGCAUCUAGACUGCUUGUGUAAGAAACAAUUACGGAGCGCCUAAAAGCGAUAACAUCCAGUUUCUCUUGUUCACUUGCAUCCGGAU